GGGCUGUUAGUGAUAAUGGUAGCACAUGUGCUUUGCAAGCAUGAAGCAGGAGUUCGAUUCUCCUACGGUCCACCA
rnacentral:tRNA from 1 species